UACGUAGGGUGCGAGCGUUGUUCGGAAUUACUGGGCGUAAAGCGCGCGUAGGCGGCUUUGUAAGUUAGAGGUGAAAGCCCGGGGCUCAACUCCGGAACUGCCUUUAAGACUGCAUCGCUUGAAUCCGGGAGAGGUGAGUGGAAUUCCGAGUGUAGAGGUGAAAUUCGUAGAUAUUCGGAAGAACACCAGUGGCGAAGGCGGCUCACUGGACCGGCAUUGACGCUGAGGUGCGAAAGCGUGGGGGAGCAAACAGG
rnacentral:rRNA from 1 species